UCAAAAUGAGAUUUUCGGAGAACUCAAAGACCAAAAAGCGAGGGUCAUACUCAAAAACAAGUUUCUUUUUCUCUUCUCCUCCUAUUUCUUUCUCUUCUCUUUCUCCUUCUUCUC
rnacentral:ribozyme from 13 species